AUUGAACGCUGGCGGCAGGCCUAACACAUGCAAGUCGAGCGAGCGGCGGACGGGUGAGUAAUGUCUGGGAAACUGCCUGAUGGAGGGGGAUAACUACUGGAAACGGUAGCUAAUACCGCAUACCAUCAGAUGUGCCCAGAUGGGAUUAGCGGGUAGGUGGGGUAACGGCUAACCUAGGCGACGAUCCCUAGCUGGUCUGAGAGGAUGACAAGCCACACUGGAACUGGGACACGGUCCGGACUCCUACGAGAGGAAGCAGGGGGGAAUAGUGCACAAUGUGCGCGAGCCUGAUCCAGCCAUUCCGCGUGUGUGAAGAAGGCCUUCGGGUUGUAAAGCACUUUCAGCGGGGAGGCGUUACCCGCAGAAGAAGCACCGGCUAACUCCGUGCCAGCAGCCGCGGUAAUUC
rnacentral:rRNA from 1 species